GGAAGGUUUGGAGAGUGAAUGAAUCAAAGAAGCAUGAGUUUCGUCAAAAGUCGGCAAGUUGGGAAUACGAUAACUUGUACUUUUGGGUGAGAUUAGGAGUGCUCCAUAUGCUAAGCAAGUAAUGAUAUGAAGUAUUUGAAUUGUAUAAUGGUCUCUUGUUAAGUUUGGAAGUCAAACGAGUUGUAAUACGAAAGUCGACAAAGGGCGUCGCAAGUUAAGUUUGUAAAUUUCACUGAAAUUUGGGUCAGAUGUCUCGGAGCUUUUCUCUCAAUAUACUUGGAGUUACGGGGUGAUCCACCUAUCAAAUCGAAGGUGUAUGAGUCUAGUUUCCAGUGGAUUUUAUCGUUCGUCAAUACGAUAUCGGAGUAGAGAGAAAUUCGCAUUUUUGUCCAAGAACGUAAACUGCCGCAGGAACAGUGGACAUAGUCGGUGGUCAAAGUUGUCUUUGUAUAUAUAUUCACCCUUCCACGACUUGUCUCUUAGUUUUCCUCUUCCAAGACCUCGAGACCACAGAAUUCAUCCUUAAAUAUUUCCCCAUCAAACACAAGAUAAUCAAAGGGCAAAUUAUACAAGUCUAACACAAGGAAUAAGGUAGUGAUCUUCGAAUCGGUAAAUUCUCGCUAAUUCGAUAUUUGGAAGGAAACUUCAUCAAGAAGCAAUUUAUAGUUUGGAGUGAUUUGCAUAGUUCGAGGAAGUCAAUUAUAAAGUGUUCGAGGCUUAUGGAAAUGUGUAUAACUCCAAUCGACGAGGUACGGUAGACGGAUUGUUGUACCUUUCUCGAUGGAUACCAAAGUUCGGCGGGGAUGUUCGCACUCCAUUCUCCGG